GAUGAACGCUGGCGGCGUGCCUAAUACAUGCAAGUCGAGCGAACAGACGAGGAUCUUGCUCCUCUGACGUUAGCGGCGGACGGGUGAGUAACACGUGGAUAACCUACCUAUAAUACUGGGAUAGCUUCGGGAAACCGGAGCUAAUACCGGAUAAUAUAUUGAACCGGAUGGUUCAAUAGUGAGAGACGGUUUUGCUGUCACUUAUAGAGGGAUCCGCGCCGCUUUCGGUAGUUGGUAAGGUCAGGGCUUAGCAAGGCGACGAUGCGUGGCCGACCUGAGAGGGGGGUAGGCCACACUGGAACGGAGACACGGUCCAGACUACUACGGGAGGCAGCAGAAGGGAAUGGUACGCAGUGGGCGGAAGCCUGACGGAGCAACGCCGAGUGAGUGACGAAAGUCUUGGGAUCGGAAUACUCUGCUACUAGGGAAGAACAAAUGUGUAAGUAACUAUGGAGGUCUUGACGGUACCGAAUCAGAAAGCACCGGCUAACUACGUG
rnacentral:rRNA from 1 species